GCAAGUCGAGCGGACCGACGGGAGCUUGCUCCCUUAGGUCAGCGGCGGCACUGGUGAGUAACACGUGGGUAACCUGCCUGUAAGACUGGGAUCACUCCGGGAAACCGGGGCUAAUACCGGAUGCUUGAUUGAACCGCAUGGUUCAAUCAUAAAAGGCGGCUUCGGCUGCCGUUUACAGAUGGACCCGCGGCGCAUUAGCUAGUUGGUGAGGUAACGGCUCACCAAGGCGACGAUGCGUAGCCGACCUGAGAGGGUGAUCGGCCACACUGGGACUGAGACACGGCCCAGACUCCUACGGGAGGCAGCAGUAGGGAAUCUUCCGCAAUGGACGAAAGUCUGACGGAGCAACGCCGCGUGAGUGAUGAAGGUUUUCGGAUCGUAAAGCUCUGUUGUUAGGGAAGAACAAGUACCGUUCGAAUAGGGCGGUACCUUGACGGUACCUAACCAGAAAGCCACGGCUAACUACGUGCCAGCAGCCGCGGUAAUACGUAUGUGGCAAGCGUUGUCCGGAAUUAUUGCGCGUAGAGCGCGCGCAGGCGGUUUCUUAACUCUGAUGUGAAAGCCCCCGGCUC
rnacentral:rRNA from 1 species